GAUGAACGCUGGCGGCGUGCCUAAUACAUGCAAGUCGAGCGAACAGAUGAGGAGCUUGCUCCUCUGACGUUAGCGGCGGACGGGUGAGUAACACGUGGAUAACCUACCUAUAAGACUGGGAUAACUUCGGGAAACCGGAGCUAAUACCGGAGAAUAUAUUGAACCGCAUGGUUCAAUAGUGAAAGACGGUUUUGCUGUCACGUAUAGAUGGAUCCGCGCCGCAUUAGCUAGUUGGUAAGGUAACGGCUUACCAAGGCAACGAUGCGUAGCCGACCUGAGAGGGUGAUCGGCCACACUGGAACUGAGACACGGUCCAGACUCCUACGGGAGGCAGCAGUGGGGAAUCUUCCGCAAUGGGCGAAAGCCUGACGGAGCAACGCCGCGUGAGUGAUGAAGGUCUUCGGAUCGUAAAACUCUGUUAUUAGGGAAGAACAAAUGUGUAAGUAACUAUGCACGUCUUGACGGCACCUAAUCAGAAAGCCACGGCUAACUACGUG
rnacentral:rRNA from 1 species